rnacentral:rRNA from 1 species
CCUACGGGCGGCAGCAGUGAGGAAUAUUGGGCAAUGGAGGCAACUCUGACCCAGCCAUGCCGCGUGAGUGAAGAAGGUUUUCGGAUUGUAAAGCUCUUUCGGAUGUGACGAUGAUGACGGUAGCAUCUAAAGAAGCCCCGGCUAACUUCGUGCCAGCAGCCGCGGUAAUACGAAGGGGGCAAGCGUUGUUCGGAAUUACUGGGCGUAAAGGGAGUGUAGGCGGUUUAGUAAGAUAGUGGUGAAAUCCCAGGGCUUAACUUUGGAAUUGCCAUUAAAACUAUUAGACUAGAAUUACAGAGAGGAUAGUGGAAUACCCAGUGUAGCGGUGAAAUGCGUAGAUAUUAGGAGGAACACCGGUGGCGAAGGCGGCUUACUGGACCGUAACUGACGUUGAGGCUCGAAAGCGUGGGGAGCAAACAGGAUUAGAUACCCGAGUAGUC